rnacentral:rRNA from 1 species
UGGGGAAUAUUGGACAAUGGGCGCAAGCCUGAUCCAGCCAUGCCGCGUGAGUGAUGAAGGCCCUAGGGUUGUAAAGCUCUUUCACCGGUGAAGAUAAUGACGGUAACCGGAGAAGAAGCCCCGGCUAACUUCGUGCCAGCAGCCGCGGUAAUACGGAGGGGGCUAGCGUUGUUCGGAUUUACUGGGCGUAAAGCGCACGUAGGCGGACUUUUAAGUCAGGGGUGAAAUCCCGGGGCUCAACCCCGGAACUGCCUUUGAUACUGGAAGUCUUGAGUAUGGUAGAGGUGAGUGGAAUUCCGAGUGUAGAGGUGAAAUUCGUAGAUAUUCGGAGGAACACCAGUGGCGAAGGCGGCUCACUGGACCAUUACUGACGCUGGAGGUGACGAAGCGUGGGGGAGCAAAACAGGAUUAGAUACCCUGGUAGUCCACGCCGUAAACGAUGAAUGUUAGCCGUUGGGGAGUUUACUCUUCGGUGGCGCAGCUAACGCAUUAAACAUUCCGCCUGGGGAGUACGGUCGCAAGAUUAAAACUUAAAUGAAUUGACGGGGUCAUAGCUGUUUCCU